AGGGUUUGAUCAUGGCUCAGAUUGAACGCUGGCGGCAGGCUUAACACAUGCAAGUCGAGCGGUAACAGGGGAGCUUGCUCCUGCUGACGAGCGGCGGACGGGUGAGUAACGCGUAGGAAUCUACCUAGUAGAGGGGGACAACAUGUGGAAACGCAUGCUAAUACCGCAUACGCCCUACGGGGGAAAGGAGGGGACUUUUCGGAGCCUUCCGCUAUUAGAUGAGCCUGCGUAAGAUUAGCUAGUUGGUAGGGUAAAGGCCUACCAAGGCGACGAUCUUUAACUGGUCUGAGAGGAUGACCAGUCACACUGGGACUGAGACACGGCCCAGACUCCUACGGGAGGCAGCAGUGGGGAAUAUUGGACAAUGGGCGGAAGCCUGAUCCAGCCAUGCCGCGUGUGUGAAGAAGGCCUUAGGGUUGUAAAGCACUUUCAGGGGUGAGGAAGGGUAGCUAGUUAAUACCUAGUUAUCUUGACGUUAGCCCCAGAAGAAGCACCGGCUAACUCUGUGCCAGCCGCCGCGGUAAUAC
rnacentral:rRNA from 1 species